rnacentral:rRNA from 1 species
GAUGUCGUUCUUACUGAGCGUAGAUUUCUGUUGGCGCAGAUUGGACAGGCUCCUGUUUCAGCGGCGGACGGGUGAGUAAUGCCUAGGAAUCUGCCUGGUAGUGGGGGACAACGUUUCGAAAGGAACGCUAAUACCGCAUACGUCCUACGGGAGAAAGUGGGGGAUCUUCGGACCUCACGCUAUCAGAUGAGCCUAGGUCGGAUUAGCUAGUUGGUGAGGUAAAGGCUCACCAAGGCGACGAUCCGUAACUGGUCUGAGAGGAUGAUCAGUCACACUGGAACUGAGACACGGUCCAGACUCCUACGGGAGGCAGCAGUGGGGAAUAUUGGACAAUGGGCGAAAGCCUGAUCCAGCCAUGCCGCGUGUGUGAAGAAGGUCUUCGGAUUGUAAAGCACUUUAAGUUGGGAGGAAGGGCAGUAAGUUAAUACCUUGCUGUUUUGACGUUACCAACAGAAUAAGCACCGGCUAACUUCGUGCCAGCAGCCGCGGUAAUACGAAGGGUGCAAGCGUUAAUCGGAAUUACUGUGGCGUAAAGAUCGCG